rnacentral:rRNA from 1 species
ACAUGGGGUGCAAACGUUGCUCGGAAUUAUUGGGCGUAAAGCGCGCGUAGGCGGUCAUUUAAGUCGGAUGUGAAAGCCCUUGGCUUAACUGAGGAAGUGCAUCCGAGACUGAAUAGCUAGAGUACGAAAGAGGGUCGCGGAAUUCCCGGUGUAGAGGUGAAAUUCGUAGAUAUCGGGAGGAACACCGGCGGCGAAGGCGGCGACCUGGUUCGAGACUGACGCUGAGGCGCGAAAGCGUGGGGAGCAAACAGGAUUAGAUACCCUGGUAGUCCACGCCGUAAACGAUGGAUGCUAGAUGUUUCUGGUAUUGACCCCGGAGGCGUCGUAGCUAACGCGUUAAGCAUCCCGCCUGGGGAGUACGGCCGCAAGGCUA